CAGUUCUUAAUCUUUUUGAGCAGACCUGUUGAUUUUUUUUUUAGGAUGCUGCACAUAUAAAAGCACUUUGCAUUUAAGUUGUUCAUAAAGCCUGGAUUAAGGACCCUUGCGUUAUGGUGUUUGAUGGUUUUUGUUUGUGAAUUAAUUUUAACUUUUAAGAAAUUCAUUCUAAAUCCUUCCUUAAAAGUAAAGACAUGUGAAUGGAGUGAAAUUGCUCAUUACCCUAGGAUUUAGCAACCUAUUACAUACUUGAUAUCUGAACUUUUAAAGUUUUGUUGUUGUUGUUAAUGUCUACCGUGGAGUCAUCUGUUGGAGUAAGAGGUUAGUCACCCCACAGGUACAGUGUACUUCUUAGUCUAACUGGCAUAGAUAGAAUAGGGGCUUAAUAAAUAUUUAUUGUAAGAUGAUAUGCAUAUAUGCAGAUGUACAUAGCUAAUACUAAUUACUUAACAUAGCUCUUGGUUCUUAGUAAGCAUAUAAAGCCAAACCACACUUAAAUUGUAAAUGGUAAAUUAUAUUUUUGACCAAGCAUAUUUACCCAUUUACUAAAAAAAUCAGAUACUAUUAUUAGGCAUUGUUUUAGGUUCUAGAAAUUGAAGGUUUUCCACUAAGGAUCUACUAGGAUUGUGUUGUGUAUACGUAUGUCUGCAUAGAAUGACCACAGAACUACAGGAACACUGGGAAGGGAGUGGAAAACCGUUUUCAUGAGAAUACUAGAUUUGAACUGUGUCUUGGAAAGAGACAAAUAGUGCAGGUCUGGGUGUAAGCACAGUCACGGGAUUUGGGUAGACGUGUGUGACCGGAGUGAGGUGCAUAGGAGGGGGGUGUGGUGGUAAGAGGUGAGGCAGAAGGAAGGUGGGCCCACAGGUCCGGAAGGUAAGGCCCCUGAGUGCCAUUGCUGUCCCCUGAGGCUGUCACUUCCAGCGCAGGGCUUGGGAACCUUCUCUGCCAAGGGCCCUUUGGAUAUUAAUAACGUCAUUCGUGACCACACAGAAUUACCCACUUAAAAGCUAGCCUGCUGUAUUUGGUCAAACAUACGAAUUAGGAAGAUUA